rnacentral:rRNA from 1 species
UGGGGAAUUUUGGUCAAUGGGCGCAAGCCUGAACCAGCAACGCCGCGUGGGUGAUGAAGGCCUUCGGGUUGUAAAGCCCUGUCGGGAGGGACGAAACCUCGGGUAUCCCCCGAGCUGACGGUACCUCCAAAGGAAGCACCGGCUAACUCUGUGCCAGCAGCCGCGGUAAUACAGAGGGUGCAAGCGUUGUUCGGAAUUACUGGGCGUAAAGCGCGUGUAGGCGGCUUGGCAAGUCCUGUGUGAAAGCCCUGGGCUCAACCCAGGAAGUGCGCAGGAUACUGCCGAGCUGGAGUAGCGGAGAGGAUGGCGGAAUACCCGGUGUAGAGGUGAAAUUCGUAGAUAUCGGGUGGAACACCUGUGGCGAAGGCGGCCAUCUGGACGUUCACUGACGCUGAGACGCGAAAGCGUGGGUAGCAAACAGG